CUAAUGAGCUUUCCCAAAUGUCACCUGCCAGUGAUCUUCACAGAGCUGGAAGGAUCAGCCCGUGCACCCCCAGGAGGUGCACCUCCCCAUCCCCACAAGCUGCCUGCCAAAAUCACCAUACCAGCGACACCUGCCAUAUGCAAAGCAAGCACAGCAGGGAGAUGAGGGGUGGAGGAGUGCUCGGAGGCAUUCACAGGUGGAGAAGGUUAACAUCUCCCUGUGGGGUCCAAUUACUCAUUUCUGAAUGUGUUGCUUCUCCCUCCUAUGGGCUGAGGCACUGCUGCUGAUGGUUGUGGGGUGGCUUCCCUGGUGAGUUCCAGCACGAGAGUCACGUGCAGAUGUGCUUUCCACCAUUGCCCACUCCAGUAAAGGAAAUCUUGAUUUCAGUGAAUGCGACAACUCCCAGUCAAGCUUGAUGAUUUAUUUCUUCUCUUUGUUGUUCAAUCCCCUCGAUCUGGAUGCCAUGUUCAGUGAAGAGCCUUACCCAGACGCAUUAGAUAAUUCAUGUGAAGACUCAUUUGUAGUAGUUAAAAGCAUACGUGUGCUAGCGGUGGGAUAUUUAGGAAAUCUAAGAAUCCAACAGCUUGUUUCUCAUCCAUCUGUACUGGAUGUGUCAGCAUACACUCUUGUAAAGUGAUGAAGUGAAAAAAGAAGUCUGCUAUUUCAGUACGUGGUCCUAAGCAACAAAUAAAACGGGCCGCGUUCCCUCCCCUGAAACACUUGCAAGUUUAGCUCUGUAAAGGUUAAAUAAUUGGUUUAACCUGAUCCCUCUAUGCCUCUCUUCCACCUUGUGGGAAAACUCCUGUAAGCUUAUUGUAAACAUAAUUAUGCUGUGUGGGCUUUUCAUUAAUCUAACAAAAAACCGCAAGAUGACAUGCAUCAGACUUCUU